AACCAUGGGCAUAAAAGGUGUGAAAAUUGAGUCCACAAGUGCUCUCCUGCUUGUGAGAUGCUCACCACUGCAAUCGCAAAUAAAAGGUUACUUCACUGAGAUCCUUGCCUGAAGCCUGUGUUAUUGGCCAGCGAGUGUUUCUCACAAUCUGGGAGCUCGUCUGGGAUCCAGUGGUCUACCAGGGACCCUGUCACUGCAGCAGCAGGAAGGGGCACCCUGCUGAUUUCAGUGAUCCUGUGCACUUGACAGCAGUGGUUCUAGGGAGAGCUGACAGAGGGCCAGAGACUGGUUAAAGAAGCAAGAUCCAUGAAGUACUGUGAGAAGGGAGGCACUCUGGGUUGGAGAAUUGACCCGGUAACUUUGUGCACAGACCAAGGAUUCAGCUCAAACACCAUCCUUGGAAUUCCCACUACGCCCAUUCCAUGCAGGAGACUGGGUUCUGAUGCAUACCUGGAAGGAGACGGUCCUGAUGCAUACCUGGAAGGAAUCAAAGCUCCGGCCUGAAUGGGAAGGACCAUUCCAAAUACCACUUACUACUGAAACAGCUGUAAGAACGGCGGAGAAAGUCUGGACUCAUUAUACACGAGUAAAGGCAUCCAUCAGUCCCAAUACCUGGGAAGUUGUGCCUACAGAAGACUCACUGAAGAUCAAAAUCAGAAGGCAGGCUUCCUGAUAGACUCUGUGUACAGGCUCAUAAUUGUAAAUCAAUGCAUAAUUAUUUAAGACUUAAAGCUUAAAAAUGGCAAUAGGGGAAGGCCAAUUAUUAGCCUUGAUCCUGGUGGCUAUAUGCCUUAGAGAGAACUUCUGCCAAAUAAUCACUUGUCAAAGAGGUGAUUGGGAAAUAGGAGCAGUGGGGUAUCCCAUCAAGAUAUGGGUAAAUAUGACAAAGAAUGAAUUACCACAAAACAUCACGUUUGAUGCUUGUGAGGUGUUGACUUGUGGGAACUUAAAUGCUCAACAGCAAUUGAGCAGUGAGAACAAAUAUCUUUGUCCUAAACCUAAGACUAGUGGAUUGUUUAAAGCCCCCCUUGCCCAGGAUGGAGUAGUGUAUGGUGGAUGACCACUUGCAAAGGGUGAACGUAUACACCCAGCUCAAGUAAUAGCCUAAAAGGGUUAAAGAGCCAAAUUAGCAUAUUUAAAGGAACUGCUCAGCCCAACUGCCAACCUCUACAAUGUAAUCCAAUAACUAUAACAAUUAAUGAGGCUGAUGACCUUAUUAACCAUACCUUUGGUCUCGGAGCAGAUGUGACUGGGAUUGACCCAACAGCCAGGUUUAGGAUAGCUGUAUGGGAAUUGUCCCCUAAAGUCACCUAAGAUGGGGAGAGACUCUAAGAUGGGGAAGUCCUCUUCAAAGUCCUACAGUUAUAAAAGUUGGAAAAAUAAGAAAGGAUCUCAGGCAAACAUCUGAAAUUGAUAUGGGGUGUGUAUAGGGAUGCAAAUGCCUGGAUAAAAUGGGUCAAAUAUUCUAUCCAGAGCCUCAAUCAUAGCAAUUGCUAUGGGAAGACCGAUUGCCCAGGUACUGCCCUUUCCAUUGGGAUGGACCAAGGGUUCCUGAGGGAUCUGGCUGGGGUUUGGGGACUGGCUGCUCAGGGAUAGGUUGGGCAUUGGUCAGCGGGUGGUGAGCAACUGCAUCGUGCAUCACUUGUUUCGUACACAUUAUUUUUAUUAGUACUAUUAUUAUUAUUAUUGUAUUCCUUUCAUUUCUGUCAUGAUAAACUGUCCUUGCCUCAACCCACAA